rnacentral:snRNA from 1 species
UCAACUUGGGUGGUGAGUUGA